CCAAUCAGCUUAGUCGCUGAUUACUUGACUAGUGAAUACAUAGCUAGCAAGAGGUAGACGCAGUGAACUGAAACAUCUUAGUAGCUGCAGGAAGAGAAAGAAACAUCGAUUCCCUGAGUAGCGGCGAGCGAAAAGGGAAGAGCCCAAACCAACRAGCUUGCUUGUUGGGGUUGUAGGACUGAACUUUAGAGUUACCAAAGUGCGACGUAGUCGCAACAGUUGGGAAGCUGUGCCAUAGAGGGUGAAAGCCCCGUAGACGAAACGUCACACUCUCUGUUCAGGAUCCUGAGUACGGCGGGACACGUGAAACCCCGUCGGAACCCGCGAGGACCAUCUCGCAAGGCUAAAUACUCCCUAGUGACCGAUAGUGAACCAGUACCGUGAGGGAAAGGUGAAAAGCACCCCGGAAGGGGAGUGAAAUAGUUCCUGAAACCAUGUGCCUACAAGCUGUCGGAGCCCGUUAAUGGGUGACGGCGUGCCUCUUGCAGAAUGAACCGGCGAGUUACGAUUGCAUGCAAGGUUAAGGUGGAAAAACCGGAGCCGUAGCGAAAGCGAGUCUUAAAUGGGCGUAAGAAGUAUGUAGUUGUAGACCCGAAACCAGGUGACCUACCCAUGUCCAGGUUGAAGGUGCGGUAAAGCGCACUGGAGGACCGAACCCGUGUCAGUUGAAAAUGGCUGGGAUGAGGUGUGGGUAGCGGUGAAAUUCCAAACGAACUUGGAGAUAGCUGGUUCUCUCCGAAAUCUCUUUAGGGGGAGCCUUGAGGUAAAGAA
rnacentral:rRNA from 2 species